rnacentral:rRNA from 1 species
GUUUGACAAGUCUUAUGUGAAAUCUUCGGGCUCAACCCGAAGUCUGCAUGGGAAACUGUCGGGCUUGAGUAUGGGAGAGGUGAGUGGAAUUCCGGUGUACCGGUGAAAUGCGUAGAUAUCGGAAGGAACACCUGUGGCGAAAGCGGCUCACUGGACCAUAACUGACGCUGAUGCACGAAAGCUAAGGGAGCAAACAGGAUUAGAUACCCUGGUAGUCCUAGCCCUAAACGAUGAUUGUUUGAUGUGGGGGGUACCCAAUCCUCCCGUGUCGAAGCUAACGCGAUAAACAAUCCGACUGGGGAGUACGGUCGCGAGGCUGAAACUCAAAGGAAUUGACGGGGGCCCGCACAAGCGGUGGAGCAUGUGGUUUAAUUCGACGCAACGCGAAGAACCUUACCUGGGCUCGAAAUGUACAGGACAGCGGUAGAAAUACCGUCUCCCAGCAAUGGGUCUGUAUAUAGGUGCUGCAUGGCUGUCGUCAGCUCGUGUCGUGAGAUGUUGGGUUAAGUCCCGCAACGAGCGCAACCCUUAUCUCUAGUUGCUACCAUUUAGUUGAGCACUCUAGCGAAACCGCCUCGGAUAACGGGGAGGAAGGUGGGGAUGACGUCAAGUCCUCAUGGCCUUUAUGUCCAGGGCUACACACGUGCUACAAUGGCCGGUACAAAGCCGCUGCAAUCCCCGCGAGGGUGAGCUAACUCGGAAAAAGCCGGCCCUCAGUUCGGAUUGGAGUCUGCAACUCGACUCCAUGAAGCUGGAUCGCUAGUAAUCGUGGAUCAGCAUGCCACGUGAAUAC